CUUAACACAUGCAAGUCGAGCGGGGAAAGGUAGCUUGCUACYUGACCUAGCGGCGGACGGGUGAGUAAUGCUUAGGAAUCUGCCUAUUAGUGGGGGACAACAUUCCGAAAGGAAUGCUAAUACYGCAUACGCCCUACGGGGGAAAGCAGGGGAUCUUCGGACCUUGCGCUAAUAGAUGAGCCUAAGUCAGAUUAGCUAGUUGGUGGGGUAAAGGCCUACCAAGGCGACGAUCUGUAGCGGGUCUGAGAGGAUGAUCCGCCACACUGGGACUGAGACACGGCCCAGACUCCUACGGGAGGCAGCAGUGGGGAAUAUUGGACAAUGGGCGAAAGCCUGAUCCAGCCAUGCCGCGUGUGUGAAGAAGGCCUUUUGGUUGUAAAGCACUUUAAGCGAGGAGGAGGCUACCGAGAUUAAUACUCUUGGAUAGUGGACGUUACUCGCAGAAUAAGCACCGGCUAACUCUGUGCCAGCAGCCGCGGUAAUACAGAGGGUGCGAGCGUUAAUCGGAUUUACUGGGCGUAAAGCGUGCGUAGGCGGCUUUUUAAGUCGGAUGUGAAAUCCCUGAGCUUAACUUAGGAAUUGCAUUCGAUACUGGGAAGCUAGAGUAUGGGAGAGGAUGGUAGAAUUCCAGGUGUAGCGGUGAAAUGCGUAGAGAUCUGGAGGAAUACCGAUGGCGAAGGCAGCCAUCUGGCCUAAUACUGACGCUGAGGUACGAAAGCAUGGGGAGCAAACAGGAUUAGAUACCCUGGUAGUCCAUGCCGUAAACGAUGUCUACUAGCCGUUGGGGCCUUUGAGGCUUUAGUGGCGCAGCUAACGCGAUAAGUAGACCGCCUGGGGAGUACGGUCGCAAGAGUAAAACUCAAACGA
rnacentral:rRNA from 1 species